rnacentral:misc_RNA from 1 species
UUGAAAACAUUGUAAAGGAAAGUUGAGCUGGCUCUUCAAGGGCAUGUGCUCGCUUUUCUUUCAAUCUUCAUCCACCUGUGCACUAUUUGUAGAGAGUUCUGAGAAGCCUGAGCCCUUUAACCGGGGCUCUAAGUAUCAGAUUCUCUAUGUCUUUAUACACCCUGAAUGUAUGUUUUUGAAUGUCUUUAUAAGGGACCUUAACUGGACCUUUUAAAAACUAUA